rnacentral:rRNA from 1 species
UACGUAGGGUGCAAGCGUUGUCCGGAAUUAUUGGGCGUAAAGCGCGCGUAGGCGGACCUGCAAGUCGGGGGUGAAAGCCCGAGGCUCAACCUCGGAACUGCCUUCGAUACUGCGGGUCUCGAGUCCGGGAGAGGUGAGUGGAAUUCCUAGUGUAGAGGUGAAAUUCGUAGAUAUUAGGAAGAACACCAGUGGCGAAGGCGGCUCACUGGCCCGGUACUGACGCUGAGGCGCGAAAGCGUGGGGAGCAAACAGG